AUGGUGCUUGAUCUCAUUCGCACAAUAUCAAAUGAUGUGAACUUUGUUACAGUAGAUGCCAUGGAGAAGAAUAGCAUAUGUUCGCAAGGCAAACAAACCAAUAAGGUUCGCAGAUUAGCACUUCACGGAGGAAGUGUGGAACACAACUCUAGCAUUCAAAUGGAAUGGGUGAGGUCAUUUACUGCUAUCUCGUGCAGUGAUAGUGGAAUGCCUCAACUGUCAAUCUUUAAAGUAUUACGUGUACUAGUUAUAGAGGAUUGUGUUUUUCCUGAAGGCCAUAGUCUCAAGGAUCUUGGCAAGUUGGUCCAGCUGAGGUACCUAGGACUAGUGGGGACGUCGGUCAAGCUCCCGGAAGGAAUAGGGCAUGAUCUAAAAUUUCUUGAGAUAUUGGACGUCAGGGGAGGUACCAUAAGUGAGUUGCCAUCAUCUAUUGGUGAGCUAAAGAAUUUGAGGUGCUUGUGGGCUGAUAAGGGUACAGAGAUGAAGGGUGAGAUAGAGAAACUGACAUGCCUUGAAGAGUUGCAGCUUUAUUCGGUGGACAAAUGUCCAAACUUUUGCUCUAUGGUGGGGAAGCUAACAGAGUUGAGGGAGCUCAACAUCCAUUUCAACCAAAUGGCAGAGACGGCGGGCAAGACUCUGGUGGAGUCUCUGUGCAACCUGCGCAAGAUCCGCAGCCUGGCUACCUGGCCUCAUGGUGUAUCCUCGCAUGUUCUGGGUGGUAGCUUGGAAUACUUCGCACCCAGUUCAAAUCUCCGUUUGUUCCAUAUGUUGAGGAUACUUAUACCCAAGAUGCCAUCGUGGAUCAAUUGUUUGCGUGUUCCACUCCUUUUUCGCCUGUGUUUGCAUGUGGAGGUGGUAGAAGCUCAGGAUAUUCAAACCCUUGGAAGGUUACCGUCGCUCCUCCAACUCAUGCUCAGAGUGGAGAAAAGGUGCACAUCAUGUACUUUUGGCAGCGAUGAGUUUCACAAACUGAGUUUGCUGAAGACCAAUAUGGAGAUCUGUAUUGGACAAGGAGCAUUGCCGAUGCUUAAAACGCUGGCAUACAGUGCCAGCGCUCGAGAAACGGAUGUGGCCAGCUUGGUAACCUUGUUGACAUGGAGUGGGAAUUGCCCUUUGCUGGAGAACGUCAGCUGUUCUAUUAACUGCGCUAACAGUGGGAAUGUGGAGAUACUGGAGGCAGCGCUGAUGAUCGCCGCCAAACAUCAUCCCAAUUAUCCCAAGCUCAAGGUAGAAAGAGAGAACUACGUCCGACCAGAAGGCAGGUCGAGAGGUAGUGCACCGCACUACUGCAAACAAAGAAGAGGCAGGCAUUGA
rnacentral:rRNA from 1 species